AUACGGAGGAUGCAAGCGUUAUCCGGAUUUAUUGGGUUUAAAGGGUGCGUAGGCGGAUGAUUAAGCGUGAGGUGAAAUGCCACUGCUCAACAGUGGAACUGCCUCGCGAACUGGUUGUCUUGAAUGCUCCUGCCGUGGGAGGAAUGUGUGGUGUAGCGGUGAAAUGCAUAGAGAUCACACAGAACACCGAUUGCGAAGGCAUCUCACGAAGGGGUGAUUGACGCUGAGGCACGAAAGCGUGGGGAUCAAACAGGAUUAGAUACCCUGGUAGUCCACGCAGUAAACGAUGAUAACUAACCGCUGGGUCGUAGUGAUUCGGUGGCCAAGCGAAAGCGAUAAGUUAUCCACCUGGGGAGUACGACCGCAAGGUUGAAACUCAAAGGAAUUGGCGGGG
rnacentral:rRNA from 1 species